rnacentral:rRNA from 1 species
UACGUAGGGUGCGAGCGUUGUCCGGAAUUAUUGGGCGUAAAGAGCUUGUAGGCGGUUUGUCGCGUCUGCCGUGAAAAUCCGGGGCUCAACCCCGGACUUGCGGUGGGUACGGGCAGACUAGAGGUAGGUAGGGGAGAAUGGAAUUCCUGGUGUAGCGGUGGAAUGCGCAGAUAUCAGGAGGAAUACCAGCGGCGAAGGCGGCGCUCUGGGCCGGUACUGACGCUGAGGAGCGAAAGCGUGGGGAGCAAACAGG